rnacentral:rRNA from 1 species
GAUGAACGCUGGCGGCGUGCCUAAUACAUGCAAGUCGAGCGAACAGACGAGGAGCUUGCUCCUCUGACGUUAGCGGCGGACGGGUGAGUAACACGUGGAUAACCUACCUAUAAGACUGGGAUAACUUCGGGAAACCGGAGCUAAUACCGGAUAAUAUAUUGAACCGCAUGGUUCAAUAGUGAAAGACGGUUUUGCUGUCACUUAUAGAUGGAUCCGCGCCGCAUUAGCUAGUUGGUAAGGUAACGGCUUACCAAGGCAACGAUGCGUAGCCGACCUGAGAGGGUGAUCGGCCACACGGGAACUGGGACACGGUCCAGACUCCUACGGGAGGCAGCAGUAGGGAAUCUUCCGCAAUGGGCGAAAGCCUGACGGAGCAACGCCGCGUGAGUGAUGAAGGUCUUCGGAUCGUAAAACUCUGUGAUUAGGGAAGAACAAAUGUGUAAGUAACUAUGCACGUCUUGACGGUACCUAAUCAGAAAGCCACGGCUAACUACGUG